ACAUGCAAGUCGGAUGCGAACGGCGCUUUCGGGCGUUGAGUAGCAUGGCAGACGGGUGAGGAGCGCGUAUCUGACUGGACUCAGGCUGGGGGAUAGUCCCUCGAAAGGGGGUUGAAUACCGCAUGUGCUCGGUGCUGUGAGGGCAUCGAGGAAAGUUGGCCUCUGCGGGCACGCUGAUGGCCUGAGACAGGGAUGCGUCCUAUUAGCUAGCUGGUGGGGUAAGGGCCUACCAGGGCGACGAUGGGUAGCUGGUCUGAGAGGAUGAUCAGCCACACUGGGACUGCGACACGGCCCAGACUCCUACGGGAGGCAGCAGUGGGGAAUUUUGCGCAAUGGGCGCAAGCCUGACGCAGCAACGCCGCGUGCAUGACGACGCCUUUCGAGGUGUAAAGUGCUGUCGACCGGGACGAAGGGGCGAGGGUGAACAGCUUUCGCGCAUGACGGUACCGGUGGAGGAAGCCCCGGCUAACUCCGUGCCAGCAGCCGCGGUAAGACGGAGGGGGCGAGCGUUGUUCGGAAUUACUGGGCGUAAAGCGCGCGUAGGCGGUGCAGCAAGUGGUGCGUGAAAGCCCUCGGCUUAACCGGGGACGGGCGUGCCAAACUGUUGGACUGGAGUGCCGGAGGGGGAGGCGGAAUUCCUGGUGGAGCGGUGAAAUGCGUAGAGAUCAGGAAGAACGUCGGUGGCGAAGGCGGCCUCCUGGACGGACACUGACGCUGAGGUGCGACAGCGUGGGGAGCGAACGGG
rnacentral:rRNA from 1 species